GUCAUCACUUUUCGAGGAGAAGAGGUAGGUUUAUAGAAAAUUGCUUCUUUAUGCUUCUCUACAGUGGACUGCAAUAUGAAUUGGAAUUAUGAUAAUAAGAAAUGCCAUAUAGAAAGAUAGAUUCACAUUAGAAAUAAAGCUAAGCCAUACUGUGCAUAGGUGAAUGUGCUCAUGGAUGUCAUAUCUUCCUCCUCUUCCAUCCAACAUGAAGAAAUGAUUGUUGUCCCUUGACUUCUGUGAAGGCCACAGAGCAGAAGUUGAUAGAAUGACAAGGUAGAAACGGACAAAAUCUUAUAAAGCAAACUUUUUUUUUAAUAUUAGAAAAAGCAAAGUUUAAAUACAAAUAUUGUAUUCUAAAUUCAUCGUCUUCCCCAAAAGGCUGAUAAGAUGGCCGGGGAUUAUUCUGUGAAGUCUAUAUUCUUAAUACUCGGUAGUAAAGCAAUCAGCUUGGCAAAUUUGGCUUGUCCUGUUCAUGCAUUUACUGAGUGACCUUAGGCUACUGAUCCCUUAAACUCUUCCAUUUGGAAUGUAAACGUUGAAAGAUAUGUUAAAAUGUUUAUGUAUUAUUAGUAGGUCUUUCCAUUUCGAUGGUAUAUGAAGUAUGCUGGUCCAGUUGCCUUUGUUGAUUUUGUGCAUGUCUCACCCGCACAAAUUGUAUGGGCAGUGGUAAAAUUUGAAAGUAUUACUUGCUUAUUUUGGUAGGAUUACUGUAGGUCGGCCUUCAAUUUAUGCUUGCAGUGUCAAAACUUCUUGACUUUAACUGUGACUCUGUAAAAACCUGAUGCAUAUUGCAUGGGUAGCAACUUUGCUAUGGCAAGACCUGUAUAUGGACUUCAUGUCUGGCUCACUCUGUCAAGCUUUGUUCUUGCUUGGAGAAUUAAGUUUGAAAAAAAAGCUUUUCCCGUUCCUGGUUCGCUCUACCAUGCUGGUUUCAUGUUCAGGGUUCAUGCCUGGUGCCUGUUUUCCGGAAGUAAUUUGGCUUACUUAGGAUAGGAAGUAUGUCUGGUGGAACAGUAACCAAUGCGCACUUUUAACCUUCCAAUUCAAAUUGUUCUCAACUUUUUCUUUGGCUAAGGUGACAAUCUUUGUUCAUCAGAGAUACCAAUCUUUGUUGCAUCAAGUUAAUUUUUCAGAUGGCACAGUGCGCUUGUACGUAGUAGACGGUCCCUGGGAACCUGAGAGAACUGCUCUGCUGCGUGACUGCCUCUGCAAUCGGUAUACAACAGUUGGAGAUUCCCUUUUAGUGAAAUGGUAGCUUUUCACCUGGGAGUCUGACUUUGCACUUUGAGAAUUUGGAAAGACUGCAUUUUUAUUGGGCAUCAGGACAAGUGUCUAUACCUUGCAAUUUCUACGGAGGCACUCGUGGUCUUAAGUCCACAAGUCUGUCCAAUAUUUGUCCAUGUCUCCAUUCUGCCUUUGAUGAAGACGUCUGAAUAUGUUUGCAGGAAGGCGCUUAUAUAAUUAAUACCACUAGAAGCAACUUGAUAAAAGACGUGUUCAGUGGGAUGUGCCAUCAUAUGCUCUGCUUAUAUAAUUAACAGUACACUAGUGGUUACUUUGUCGAUACUGUGUUCAGCAGGAUAUUACUGAAAAUCUUCAGGUACUUCUAGGAUUAUUUGGACUUCUAAUUACUGGUAGGCCAAGGUUUUCUUUUUUUGUUUCUUUUUUGUCAUUGAAAUGAGAUUAAAGAGGUUAUAUUUUUAUACCCUUUUUUACUUGAUGAUUGACUUGGGUGUAGGAAAUGUGGGUUUCUAUACUUGUCUUGGGGCAAAUUUACAGGGUUUAAGAAGAAUGGUAGCUCAGUGUUUCGAGGCCAGUUGCAGCGGAGGGAGGACUGAGGCUAGAAAGAUUGCCUCAUAGAGGAACCGCCAUGACGUGGAUUCCACCGAUUCAUGGCCACGCCACUUGACUUACAGCCCCACAAGGAGAGAGGGCUUAACUGGAGGAAAAAUAAGAAAGGAUUCACAUUGAGCUCGGAGGAGCAUAGAGACUCAAGUUUCAGGGACCUGGAAUUUGAUCUUUCUAGGGCAUCAACAGAUGUUGACAGAGACUCUUGAGCCCAGGCAGAUUUUCGCUGCUGUGAACGGAGGGGUCGGCGAUUGCGGGCAGGCAUCCAGACUGGCCUUUCCUUUAUGACCCGCAUUUGCCAGGUACGUACUUUGGGUGGUGUACUUCAUAUCGGUUGGAUACCUGUGUUAGCCAGUUAAUCCCGAGGAGGGCUGGUCCGAGGAGCCUCGGUGCUCAUAUAUUUGGACGCCCGCACGGGCAUCGAUCAGUGAGCCCGUGACAAGUGGUAUCAGAGCUAGUCUCGGUGGGAGUAAGCCAUGAUGACUAAGGUCGACAAGGAUCAAGCGACGAGCGUCGUGACGCUUUGGCUCAGGCAGGGGAGUGCUUUCCUACGAGAGGAAAGUGUGGAGACUCCAAGCUCGGGUGUCGAGAGUCGCCGAUCCUCGUUCAGCAGGUAAGCUGGUCAUAGUGUCUCACUGGGACGAUCCAAUGGUUACCUGGCUAGGGAAGACACAUAAUACAACAACCAGCGAAGGCGUAAACAGUCAUGGAGCCUGAUGUAUCCUUAUGUCCUUGUUCGUGGGGGAGUUUGUGAAGUGGGAGCCGAACCGCUCAGGAACUGACACCACUAUGACAUUGCUAGUUCCACGGGGUGCAGCGGAAGCGAAAAAGGAACAGAAAUUCAAAAUUUCCUACCCGUGAAACUAAUUCCAAGACCUACUAGAAGAAUAAGAGUAAAUAAAAACGU